rnacentral:rRNA from 1 species
UACGGAGGGGGCUAGCGUUGUUCGGAAUUACUGGGCGUAAAGCGCGCGCAGGCGGUCGUUCAAGUCGAGUGUGAAAGCCCCCGGCUCAACUGGGGAGGGUCACUCGAUACUGAUCGACUCGAAGGCAGGAGAGGGAAGUGGAAUUCCCGGUGUAGUGGUGAAAUGCGUAGAUAUCGGGAGGAACACCAGUGGCGAAGGCGACUUCCUGGCCUGUUCUUGACGCUGAGGCGCGAAAGCUAGGGGAGCAAACGGG